rnacentral:tRNA from 1 species
AGGGAUUUAGCUCAGCGGCAUAAGCACCUGCCUUGCAAGCAGGCAGUCGUGAGUUCGAUUCUCAAUACCGA